UCUUCCUAAAAACCCUAAAAACAAAAUCCCAUCUCCUCUCCCCUCCACCAUUUGCAAAAGACAGAGCUUCUUCAUCUCUCUCUCAUCAAUGGUGAUUCGUUGCCCCUCCUAACAGCGCCUGAUCCACUCCAACUCCACAUCUACCAUCAGCCACAUAAGGUUUUCCUCUUCCCUGAAGAGUUUAAAAGAAGAAGUCAUCAACCAUUGACAAACCUUAAGCACCUGAAGGUCAAGACUUUUGAAAGCUUGGAAGACGAAUCUAAGUUGAAAGACUCUUUAUAUUGGGCUUCACCUUAUUUGGACACACCACUGAUUGAAGAAGGAACAGAGAGUGAGUUAAUGUUAUUAUAGUUUGCUUUUCUUUAUGUCUUGAAAGAUGUAUAAUUAGAAGAUUGUAGUAUGUGUUGCAUCAAAUGCUGAGUUUUCUUCUUAUUUUUUAUAUUUUGGAAUAAUGUCAAUUGGAUUCUACAUUUAGUACUGCUCAUUAUAGUUGGAAUUUUUUUGGAGUAAUUUUAUGCAACAAUGCUGCUGGUUUAAGAAGAAAGAAACAGUGCACUCCACAUGUUUGGGAAAAUGCCUUAGAGACGUAAUGUAUAGUAUAUUGAAUAGAAAUUUAUAUGCUUUAAAUCACUAUGGCUCAAUAUCAACUUGAGUAAUUUUAAUGUUACACUUUAAUCCAAAAGCUCUAAUGCUUUUUUGUUUCUUUUGAUUCUA